UGGUAUAAUGGAUGACCGGCGUUCAAAUGUACAAAGUUAUAGAGCAGAUUGUGGAUCAUGUAGGGUGUGUAUAUUUACUAGUUCUUGUGGCAACACUUUUUGAUACAUUUGUUUUUCUUUUUACACAUGCCUUUCUGUGUCUAUACACCCAACAGGCUUACAAUGGAAACGUACCUCUACAUCUAGGCAAUGGUAUAAAUGGAUGACAGGCGUUCAGAUGUACAAAGUUAUAGAGCAGAUUUAGGAUCAUGUAGGGUGUGUAUGUUUACUAGUUCUUGUGGCAACACUUUUUGAUAUAUUUGUUUUUCUUUUUACACAUGCCUUCUGUGUCUAUACACUAAACAGGGUUACCAUGGAAACUUACAUCUACAUCUAGGCAAUGGUAUAAAUGGAUGACAGACGUUCAGAUGUACAAAGUUAUAGAGCAGAUUUUGGAUCAUAUAAGAUAGCUGGAAAGACAUACAUUGAAAUAUGCAGACGACAGGCAUGAAGUGCAGACGACAGACAUGAGGUGCAGACGACAUCUGGAUUUUUCCAAACUGGUGACUGAUGUUGACAAAAAGAACGUGUGAAGAUAUCAUGUUGUAUGUAUCACAAUGGUUUAGUGGAUGGUACGGCUAAGGUGCUUUGUAUUGACUACAAGCACACGCACGGAUGUCAUGUAUAUUUCACGAUGGUUAAGUGGACGGUGCAGCUAUGGCGGCAGAUGUUGACUAUACAAGCACGUGCAAAGAUGCCAGGUUAUAGAUUUCAAAAUGGUUUAGUCAGGUACUUUUUCUAAGGCGCAGUAAGUUAUUUUUCUGUACAAAUAGGUUAUUCCUUUGGCUAGCUUUAUAUUAGGCGUGCAAUUUUAAACAAGUUAUGCACAUUCAUUUUCAUUUUAAUAAAUUUUCUGGUUAUAAUGUCUUAAUUCUUUUUUUAUUUUAAUCCCAUUAUUGUUAAUUAUUAAAUAAUUACUAUCAAUAUUCAGUCAGCAGUGCAUUUUAAAAGGUCGAUUUUUCUUCUGGGGUCAUUCAAUAGCUUAGAAAUGCGCAUACAGUUUCUGGCUUUGGUGAAAGUAAACCUUGGAAGUAUCGGACGAGGAACUCAAACUGUUCGAUGAGAAAUUGAAACUAUCCGACGAGGAACCCGAACUAUCCAACGAGAAGCAGUUUCUUUGACCAUACAAGUCCUUACUUGUAAAUAAUUUAUAACGCACUUUGAAUACAAGUCGGCAAUUCAGUUUAGUUACACUAUGAAAUGUCAAAGGUUUUCUCGAUUGGUCUAAUUUUACGUCUAGAAAACUUUAUCGGGCUCACUUCAGUGGCGUGGUAUAAAUAAGACAGGUGUUUGCUACCAUAUCAGCCUGAGACAUGGUUCGAAUCCGCUAUCAUUGGUGUGUGAAUUUGAGACGCGUUUUUUUCAGACUGUAAAAUUUUAAUACGAAAUUUUAUUUUCUGUCAGUAAAAUGUAAAUAGGAAUAAAAGAAAGUUGAAAAACUCAGUUUUCCAUACGUGACUUUGGUGUAAGUAUUGGUGAGAAACCCAGGAAAAAAAAACAAUGUGACUAUUUAUAAUUGUAUAUCAACAGGAGGAAAUUUUUAGUUGAUGGAACUACAGUUGUCGUAGGACUGCCUUGCUGGUACCAUGAAGAUGCCGAUAACCCGAGGUGCACUGGUACCCUAUCAAUGCCGGUCACCAGAGACGCUCUGGUACCCUGUCAAUGCCGGUCACCAGAGACGCGCUGGUAUCCUAUCGAUGCCGGUCAUCAGAAGGACCCCUUAUGUCGACAUUAUAGUAAUCAACUGUUUUCAAAAAGGUUUUAAAAGCCAAGAAGACAGCGUUUGACAAUUUAUUGAAAAACAUAGAAAAAGAAUCGAUUGCAGAAAACAAAUACCAUCAUGCCAUCCUGUGUACAGCUGAUAGUCCGAUGCAUGCCAGAGUGAUUUCAAAUGAACAAGUGAGAAAUAACUGCAGAAGGAAGAACCAAGUAUUGAUGAAGCCGCAACAGACCUGGUGCAAGCAUGUUAGGAUGACACCACCACAGCCGCCCUGACACUAGCAUAGUUAAACAAAUUAGACAUAAGCUGACUUGUAUAUGAUUAUACCCCAUGUACAAAGUAAAUGGGGCUAUUUUGGAGUCACGCAUGUCCGCCGGUCUUUCCGUCCGUCCCACCAUUGUGUCCGCCGGGAAGAUUUCCAUACAACUGGCAUGAAUUAGUAACCUCAUUAAGACUAUGUGCAGAGCAAACAAGCCAGGUCAUUAGGCCCAAAGUCAAGGCUACUUUUGGAGGUCAAAGGUCAAAUAGCUUAACUUCAUACCCGCUUAGAUGUUUUAAAAGGCUUGGAAGAUAUUAAGCUUGACUAUUCGAAGAAAAAUGAGUUUUUUUUACUUGCCCUGGCGUCGGCGUCACUGUCACCGUUGCAUUAAAGUUAAAAUUUUAUGGCAAGCUUCUAAGUGUGAUUUUAUCUUCUUAAUUAUUUACCCUAUUAAGAUCACAUAAGGGUUGUUCUUGGUAAGGGGCUGACAUCUGUUAGUUGAGGGUCAGGCAUCCAAAAGGUCAAAGUGACUGGGGUCAAAUAUUGUAAUAGUGCUGGUUUAAGUUUUAUGGCAAGCUUCUCAAUUUCACUAUAUCUUCUUAACAACUGCCCUAUAAUCAUCAAACCUCACAUAAGGAUUCAUCUUAUAAAGGGACAGAGAGGCCUCCGUGGCCGAGUGGUUAAGGUCGCUGACUUCAAAUCACUUGCCCCUCAUCGAUGUGGGUUCGAGCCUCACUCGGGGCGUUGACUUCUUCAUUUGAGGAAGCCAUCCAGCUGGCUU
rnacentral:misc_RNA from 1 species